GGUGAUUCACUUGACAACUGCACUCGAUAACGGAUAACAGCAUUGACUCCCGAAGAUAAACUGUUAUCAGAGGCUUAAUACUCUUCCUUGGUAAAAAGACAGAGUUUAUCAAGGACUACCAGGUUUGAGAUGACUGCGAUUCCAUAACCAUUCAAGAGCAUUUCAGUUCCCUUGUUUCCAACAUGUUUGUGGACAACCAAUCCAGGGAUGAAGGUCACAAGAAAGCUGAAAUAGCCGUAGAGAGAUGUACUUUUUGGAGCAGAUUCUUGCACCUACUGUACCUCUUGAGCCGCAUUUAUGCACUGGAACUAAACUGUCCAAAGAAACUCAAAUACAACUUUGAGGUCUUUCAUAAGAGCUUCUUCAAGCUUGAUGACAAACAGUAACAUGUUCCCCAACGUCCACAAUCUCAAGGUCAGCUUAUUGGCCUAAAAGCCAUACAGACAUUGUUGAUAGUAGCGGGAUUUUGUUGGGUCACUUCAGUUAAAUUGUACUGUUCAGAUUCUUCAGGUUUACCAAAAGCACUUUUUUGAAAUUACAUUUUCACAUUUGGACCAUACUUGUGGGUUAGUUCACCAAAAAAAUAUUAAUAAAAAUUCUUUCUUCUGUUGAACACUAAAGAAAAUUAUUGAAAGAAAGCUUAUUCUGUAACCAUUGACUUCCACAGUAGGAAAAAAAACUAAUCUUUGUGUUCAACAGAACACAAAAAAGUUUGAAACAAGUAAAGGGUGAGAAAAUGAUGACAGAAUUUCUAUUUUUGGGUGAACUAUC